AACGAACGCUGGCGGCAUGCCUAACACAUGCAAGUCGAACGAGACCUUCGGGUCUAGUGGCGCACGGGUGCGUAACGCGUGGGAACCUGCCCUUAGGUUCGGAAUAACUCCCGAAAGGGGUUCUAAUACCGGAUAAUGUCUUCGGACCAAAGAUUUAUCGCCUUUGGAUGGGCCCUCGUUGGAUUAGCUAGUUGGUAGGGGAAAAGCCUACCAAGGCGACGAUCCAUAGCUGGUCUGAGAGGAUGAUCAGCCACACUGGGACUGAGACACGGUCCAGACUCCUACGGGAGGCAGCAGUGGGGAAUAUUGGACAAUGGGCGGAAGCAUGAUCGAGCAAUGACGCGUGAGUGAUGAAGGCCGUAGGGUUGUAAAGCUCUUUUACCCGGGAUGAUAAUGACAGUACCGGGAGAAUAAGCUCCGGCUAACUCCGUG
rnacentral:rRNA from 1 species